rnacentral:sRNA from 1 species
CUUGAUUUGCCUCAAAAUUGAAUAAACAUUAGGAAUGCAUAACCUCAAAUUUCAAGUAUUGACAAAAUCCAAGGCUAGGAUAUUUGAUAUUCCAACAAAAUGCCGUUCCAUUUGCCUAAAUCGUUACCAGCAUAAGGAUUAUAAACACGAUGAUAAAUCCUUUAAGAGAAAGGAUCUAAAUACACAAACAUCUCGAUCUCGUGUCCUUUUCGGUUCGAGUUGCAUGGCGGCAUUUAAAAACCGAAUGACUAACUGUACCGAUCCAGUUAAAAAAUAUGAAUACUUAACGGAAUUGCGGGACUCGAAUCUCGAUUUGUAUUACCGUUAUAUGUGCGAUAAUACCACCGAGGUUUUGUCCAUUAUCAGCUCGGUCGACGGCAUCGUCGAUGACUUCUGUCGCAUGGCCACAAUGAUUUUAAACAAUGUUAAGACACAGCGCAACGAUCUGACCACCAAACAACUGGAUGUUCUCAAUACCAUGAGUUAUCUACGCAAACACUUGAAUUGUCAAAAAAAAGACUCACUUCCAACACCAGUUAAAUGCAGCUCCAAGGCGGAAAUGGUGAAUACCAGUUCGGCUGUCCAAGGAAGUGUGAAAACAACAAAACCAAUUCGAUGUUUUAACAAAGCCUUAAUGCUAACACCACAGCACUUUUAUGUCCUGUAUAUGCAUUUCGGAAGGCGAAAUAAAAAGGUUUAAACAUAUCGCCUUUCUAUGCGAAUUUCAUGGCAUACAAGACUUUGCUGCGGUGUUCUCAUUAGUAUCGAUUCUUCUGAUAUGCUGAAACACUUUUUAACGGAAAUACCGACGUUCGAUAAUGCGAUAGCUGCAAAUGUGCUAAGAACUCAUUUAAUUACUUAAUGUUCGUCAUGCAAUUUUUGGGGGAGCGGGGCGAGGAAAAAGAGCUGGCUGAUUAACAACAAUCCUUUAAUAUGUAUAUAAUUCUUUUAUAUAAUCAAACUGGAACAACAUUUUGAUGAAAUAAAUAAAACCCUAAUAUGCCUUUAACUUCAAA